rnacentral:rRNA from 1 species
UACGUAGGUGGCAAGCGUUGUCCGGAUUUACUGGGCGUAAAGCGCGCGCAGGCGGUCAAGUCAGUCGAAUGUGAAAGCCCCCGGCUCAACUGGGGAGGGUCAUUCGAUACUGCUCGACUUGAAGGCAGGAGAGGGAAGUGGAAGUCCCGGUGUAGUGGGGAAAUGCGUAGAUAGCGGGAGGAACACCAGUGGCGAAGGCGACUUUCUGGCCUGUUCGUGACGCUGAGGCGCGAAAGCUAGGGGAGCAAACGGG